rnacentral:misc_RNA from 1 species
GAUGAAGAACGUAGCGAAAUGCGAUAAGUAAUGUGAAUUGCAGAAUUCAGUGAAUCAUCGAAUCUUUGAACGCACAUUGCGCCCGCUAGUAUUCUGGCGGGCAUGCCUGUCCGAGCGUCAUUUCAACCCUCAAGCCCCCGGGCUUGGUGUUGGGGAUCGGCGAGCCUCCGCGCCCGCCGUCCCCUAAAUCUAGUGGCGGUCUCGCUGUAGCUUCCUCUGCGUAGUAGCACACCUCGCACUGGGAAACAGCGCGGCCACGCCGUUAAACCCCCAACUUCUGAACGUUUGACCUCGGAUCAGGUAGGAAUACCCGCUGAACUUAAGCAUAUCAAUAAGCGGGAGGA